UACGUAGGUGGCAAGCGUUGUCCGGAUUUACUGGGCGUAAAGGGAGCGUAGGCGGAUACUUAAGUGGGAUGUGAAAUACCUGGGCUUAACUUGGGUGCUGCAUUCCAAACUGGGUGUCUAGAGUGUUGGAGAGGAAAGUGGAAUUCCUAGUGUAGCGGUGAAAUGCGUAGAGAUUAGGAAGAACACCAGUGGCGAAGGCGACUUUCUGGACAAUGACUGACGCUGAGGCUCGAAAGCGUGGGGAGCAAACAGGGUUAGAUACCCUGGUAGUCCACGCCAUAAACGAUGGGUACUAGGUGUAGGAGGUAUCGACUCCUCCUGUGCCGCCGUUAACACAAUAAGUACCCCGCCUGGGGAGUACGGUCGCAAGAUUAAA
rnacentral:rRNA from 1 species